rnacentral:rRNA from 1 species
AUUGAACGCUGGCGGCAGGCCUAACACAUGCAAGUCGAGCGGGGUUUUCGGACCUAGCGGCGGACGGGUGUGUAAUGCGUAGGAAGCUACCCGAUAGAGGGGGAUACCAGUUGGAAACGACUGUUAAUACCGCAUAAUGUCUACGGACCAAAGUGUGGGACCUUCGGGCCACAUGCUAUCGGAUGCGCCUACGUGGGAUUAGCCAGUUGGUGAGGUAAUGGCUCACCAAGGCGACGAUCCCUAGCUGGUUUGAGAGGAUGAUCAGCCACACUGGAACUGAGACACGGUCCAGACUCCUACGGGAGGCAGCAGUGGGGAAUAUUGGACAAUGGGCGCAAGCCUGAUCCAGCCAUGCCGCGUGUGUGAAGAAGGCCUUCGGGUUGUAAAGCACUUUCAGCGAGGAGGAAGGGGUGAGUGUUAAUAGUACUCAUCUUUGACGUUACUCGCAGAAGAAGCACCGGCUAACUCUGUGCCAGCCGCCGCCGUAAAAC